AUGAUUCAUGUCAUAUUGUAUAAUUGAAGUUCCUAAUGGAGAAGUUGAAUGCUCCGGUUUCUUAGUGUUUCGUUUAGUAGUAUUAAUUUUGCAUAAGUCAUUGAAUAAACUUGAUUCUUGAGGAAUUAGGAAUGGAAAACGGAAUUUGGGAAGCUCAGAUGAAGAGUAAUGGAAUUUAGUGAUCGCGGAACUUAUAAUCUCGCACACGGUAACUAAUUUGUGAUGGCUUACUGGCUGAGCAAUAAA
rnacentral:misc_RNA from 1 species